CCUGGCUCAGAUUGAACGCUGGCGGCAGGCCUAACACAUGCAAGUCGAGCGGAUGAAGGGAGCUUGCUCCCUGAUUUAGCGGCGGACGGGUGAGUAAUGCCUAGGAAUCUGCCUGGUAGUGGGGGAUAACGUUCCGAAAGGAACGCUAAUACCGCGUACGUCCUACGGGAGAAAGCAGGGGACCUUCGGGCCUUGCGCUAUCAGAUGAGCCUAGGUCGGAUUAGCUAGUUGGUGAGGUAAUGGCUCACCAAGGCGACGAUCCGUAACUGGUCUGAGAGGAUGAUCAGUCACACUGGAACUGAGACACGGUCCAGACUCCUACGGGAGGCAGCAGUGGGGAAUAUUGCACAAUGGGCGCAAGCCUGAUGCAGCCAUGCCGCGUGUAUGAAGAAGGCCUUCGGGUUGUAAAGUACUUUCAGCGAGGAGGAAAGGUCAGUAGCUAAUAUCUGCUGGCUGUGACGUUACUCGCAGAAGAAGCACCGGCUAACUCCGUGCCAGCAGCCGCGGUAAUACGGAGGGUGCAAGCGUUAAUCGGAAUUACUGGGCGUAAAGCGUGCGCAGGCGGUUUUGUAAGACAGAGGUGAAAUCCCCGGGCUCAACCUGGGAACUGCCUUUGUGAUUGCAAAG
rnacentral:rRNA from 1 species